AACAAUAACAUAGAUUAACAUUAUACAAAUGGAUGAAGAAAUGUGGCUCAUCGCUGACUUAUUAAAUUCAAAAAAAAGUCCAUUAAACGUGUUAGUUAGAGGCUAAAAGACAUGGCCCAGAGUCAACUUAGGAGACUCAAUUUUAAGUUUUACCAAUAUUAUGAUAGUCAAAAAGAAUCAUCAAAAAUUAAUGAUCAAGCCAACUGUAUUGCACCAUGUGGUGAAAUCGUUGAAAGUUUUUUGAACAAUUAAACCGUUUUUAUUGUAUGCUUUAAUAUGAUAAAAUAAAUUAUUUGAGUACCUAACUAUUGUUAAUUUUUGAGACUGUAUGUUUACAAUACGUCAUUUCUAAUCAAUAAAUGAUAAUGGCGGCGUAUACGACAAGGAUUCUCGAGAAUUGUUUCUGUUUGCUUUCGUGUAUCGGAGUUUAAGUGGGUAUAUAAAUAUAACUUCACGUAUCACCGCUGGAAGUUAUUUUGCGUGGAAUUCAAUGGACGUGUAAAACUAUUUGAGUUUUACGAUUUAUUUGUUAUAUAUUGAUGUCAUAGUAACUGAAUAAGAAAAUAACACGAUUGAUGAUAGUAAAGAUGGUCUUUACUUUCGAUUGUUAAAUUAUUGGAUAAUAUAAUCUUACU